rnacentral:rRNA from 1 species
CCUACGGGAGGCAGCAGUGAGGAAUAUUGGUCAAUGGACGAGAGUCUGAACCAGCCAAGUAGCGUGAAGGAUGAAGGGCCUCGGGGUUGUAAACUUCUUUUAUAUGGGAAUAAAACGUUCCAAGUGUGGGAUUUUGUAUGUACCAUCUGAAUAAGGAUCGGCUACCUCCGUGCCAGCAGCCGCGGUAAUACGGGGGGUCCGAGCGUUAUCCGGAUUUAUUGGGUUUAAGGGGCGCGUAGGUGGAUGCUUAAGUCAGUUGUGAAAGUGUGCGGCUCAACCGUAGAAUUGCAGUUGAAACUGGCAGUCGUGAGUACAGUAGAGGUAGGCGGAAUUCGUGGUGUAGCGGUGAAAUGCUUAGAUAUCACGAAGAACUCCGAUGGCGAAGGCAGUUCACUGGACUGCAACUGACACUGAGGCUCGAAAGUGUGGGUAUCAAACAGGAUUAGAUACCCCAGUAGUC